UACGUAGGGUCCGAGCGUUAUCCGGAAUCAUUGGGCGUAAAGAGCUCGUAGGCGGUUCAGCAAGUCGGCUGUGAAAGUCCGGGGCUCAACCCCGGAAUUGCAGUCGAUACUGCUGUGACUCGAGUCCGGUAGAGGAGAAUGGAAUUCCCGGUGUAGCGGUGAAAUGCGCAGAUAUCGGGAGGAACACCAGUAGCGAAGGCGGUUCUCUGGGCCGGCACUGACGCUGAGGAGCGAAAGCGUGGGGAGCAAACAGG
rnacentral:rRNA from 1 species